GUAAAAUUGUGGUGAUUUUGGACAAUCACUGGAUCCAGCCAAGCGAUGGUUUCCAAGCUCACUGAUAAAAUAAGAUGCUUAUCUGCAAGUUUUCUUAAUCUUUCCAGACAAAUGUAAAGAAAUCCUCAUGGAGAAGUAUACUUAUAAAUAAAGCACUUUGCAAUAAGAAAUAAAGAGUGAUUGACAGAAAAUGUGAUGAAUCACCCUCUGGAUUUCAACAUUCCUGAAAUGAACUGGAGAAAAGCCCUAAUGACAGGAGCUGUUGAUGGGCGCUUCCAACACUGGGGGUGCUCACUGGAUGAUCUUGUGGCCACCUUCUCCUCUUGGAAGAGGUUACCAGUGCCUAACCUCUUCUGCUCUUCCAGGAGGUGCUGUAAGUUAGAAGCACCUUGCCAUUAAGAAGGAAACCAAUUCCUUCCACAUUCCCUCAUAGCAGAGAUUCUUCAAAGAGGUAUUCAUCAUCGCUACUUUUGU